rnacentral:sRNA from 1 species
UAUAUUACUAUUAUCUCUGCUAUGCUAUAAACUAUCUUCUACUGUUACUCUUCACACU